AUUGAACGCUGGCGGCAGGCUUAACACAUGCAAGUCGAGCGAGCGGCGGACGGGUGAGUAAUGUCUGGGAAACUGCCUGAUGGAGGGGGAUAACUACUGGAAACGGUAGCUAAUACCGCAUACCAGCAGAUGUGCCCAGAUGGGAUUAGCUAGUAGGUGGGGUAAUGGCUCACUAAGGCGACGAUCCCUAGCUGGUCUGAGAGGAGGACCAGCCACACUGGAAUUGAGACCCGAUCCAGACUCCUACGGGAUGCAGCGGUGGGGAAUAUUGCACAAUGGGCUCAAGCCUUAUGCAGCCAUGCCGCGUGGGUGAAGAAGUCCUUCGGGUUGUGAUGCACUUUCAGCGGGGAGGCGUUACUCGCAUAAGAAGCACCGGCUAACUCCGUGCCAGCCGCCGCGGUAAUAC
rnacentral:rRNA from 1 species